AAAAAAAAAAAUGAAGAAUAUCCAAAACUCAGCACUAAAAAAAAAGAAAUGAGAAUAUCUAAAACUCAGCAUUCUAAGUUUGGCCCCUCUCAUGCUUUUGCCAAAAAUGCUUUCAAGUCUCCUAGAAGCAUAUUUUCCUAAAAAAAAAAGGGGGGGGGAGGAUUUUUCUUUGACACUCUUGUGGCUGUUUAAUUAGAUGUUAAAACACGUAGGGGAGGAACACUUUCCUUUCCCAUGCUUUAUCCCUAUUUAGCAAAGGACAUGCCAUGUGUUUCUUAGACCAAAAAUACUUCCUCUAAUGUGCAUGGUGACCAUGUAAAGAAAAUCCUUGGUUCUCAACACUCAAUGGCUAGGUAACAUGGUAUCAGUUGUUCUCAUAAAAAUAUUUGAAAUUAACAGAAUGGUAAUUUUUGAAGAUAAACUUUUUAUCUCAAGGUGUUUUUUUAGGCCCUAAUUUUAUUUCUUUAAUUUUUUUUACCGCAUUGUUAAAUGGAAAGAUCAUAAAAAGUGUAUCAGUUUGGGCUUGCUUUGGGAUAUUUUCAUAUUAGUAUUUAAAUAACAUUUUUAAGAAAAUAAUAUGGUUAUGGAACCAUGUGAUGAAAUUGGCCCUUGUAAAGAUGGAGAUGCUUCUCAGUCAUUCUAAUUAAUGGGAUUGUUGCUUCUAGUUUAGAUAAACACAGGUAAUUAACUCCUAAAACUAGGGGAAAUUGCUUUAGUUUCUUCUUUUAAACUCUGCAGCAUAGAUUGGCCCACAGGUUUUAUAUGUUUGUGUUAUUAGGCUUUUCAUUAUGGUGUAUAUUUCUACAUUUACUCUAUCAAUAGUUUUUUUCAAAAUACAGAGCCAUGUUAGUGGCUCUUGCAUGUUUCCAAAUUCUAAUUUUGGGCAUAAACUAUUGAUUGCUCUUCAUUUUUCUCAUUUCCACAAAGUCAAGUGUGUUUUUUAGCUGGACACUGGAUAUGUAAGGCAUUAUCCGUGCUCUAAAAUAUCUUAUCUUCCAGGGUUGAGACAUGUAAAACAACACCAUAAAUGUGAUAUGCUGUAAAACAGGGUUUAUAUAAAGUUAUAGUUUACUUGCAAGAGAGAAAAUGACCUGCAAUUCAAGUAGGGUUCAUGGAGAAGCUAUUUGAACCAGGCCAUCACGAACGAGUAGACAUUUACCAAGUAGAAUGGAGACCUAUGUGCGCUAAACCGCGGUUUGCUUCUGUGGUGAUGCGAAGCCCCGUGGGGAUGAGGUUCGCUGGUUGGGGUGGGGGGCGGUGCGGGGGGUAAAGGGUCCUGGCGAGUCUGCAAAGCAGUUGGUAUCAACCAGCAGGAGCUUUGUAUCUGAUACCUAAUAUGAUAGUGAGUGUCAUUUCAGGAAACCUUUACCAGCCUUUUUGGAACCGUUUUCUCUUUUAGGUGCCUUAUCUAUUUUGUGAGCUUUGACGUUUCCACUGGUGCUCGUGCUUUGUGAUAGGAAAAAACCAGAGAGGAAUUUGCUAGGGAAGGGUUUGUCCUGGGGCCAGCUGGGGUGGGCAAAGCUCAUUAAGCUCAUGGUUUUGAAAGCACACACAUGAUUUAAUAGUUAUGAAAUGUGCCCAGGGACUUGAAGGACUCAAACACUGAGGGAUGGUUGUUGGAGUUUGCUGCCUGUGCUCCUGGGACAUUUGCUGUGCUGGGAAAUGGUGAAAAAGUGCUAAUGAAGGAUGCCAGCAGAACCCUCAGUGUCAGGCUGUCAUCCCGGGGAAGGUCUGGAGAGUGUAAUGAGGCGAACAAUCAAGCUCCUACAGUCUGAAAAGGUUAAAGAAGCUUCAGGGAUCGCUCUGUGUGCUUCUUGAGUAUUGGAAUGUCAUGCCAGUAAUAAGCAACGUGCAAUCCAGAGACAAAGAAGCAAUUAGUUCUCUGCAUCAGGGAAAGGCUGCCCAGCUUCAGAAUGGAUAGUGUGAAGCCUGUGAAUUCUUUUCCUUUGAGGUGGGACUGAGUCACAAAGACUCAAGCCAGUGGUGAGUGAAUCCUGUCAGUCUGUCAGCAGCAUUGACUGAAUUCUCACCAUUGGCAUACCAUAUAAUUAGGUUUAAACAAGCCCUCAACAUUUUAGAAUAAAUAACCUCUGAGGUCAAUGAGUAGCUUUGGGUUACUAGCCUAUCCAAACUCUACUAGGCAUUUGCUUAGGUUUAGAUUUGGAGCAGACCAGAAAUUUCCACAAAACAAAGGUUUUGACUUGGUCAGAGCAAGGAAACGAUGGGGGGAGGUGAUGUCAUGUCAUGAGACCAAGAAGUCUUCAAUUUUUGAAAUGAUUCUAUAUUUCAUCCAUGAUUUUGGUGUUCUUUAGAUUCCACUUGCAGUAUAUGACUGAACACCUGCCUUCUGCACUGGAGCUAUAAAUUUGAGAAUAGUUUGUUAGAAAAGAGUUCUCUCUCUAAGAUUUUAACCAUCUACAUGUUCUGCCCUAGACAGGGUACUAAAUGACAGCCCAGGACUCUUUCCACCAGUGGAAAACAUGGAAGAAAUAUCUCCAGCAUGUCUUCUCCACAGUCCAUCUAGGGAAGUCUCUCAAGGUAGAAGCAGAAACCUGGGGGAACGCAGGCUAUUGUGCACAUAAAACAUCCUUCCUGGCCAUCCUGAUUCCUUCCUGCUCCUGCCCCGGAUCCUUGCCUGUGUAAGAACUUCUGAGUCUCAAGCUUUGAGGUUUAUACUAUUAAAAUAUAAAGAAGGUGACUGAGACAAUAGUAACUGUAUCUAGCACUUUAUGAAGUGAACAGGCUCCAUCCAAAGAGCACAGUAAAAGUGGGGCAGAAGGCAGGAAGCUUUCAUAGGAUAAAUAAUGAAGAACAGGAAGAGAAAAGUAGAAAAGAUCUGAGUCACUGGGGCCACAUAAUCAACCUUGUUCCGGGUGAGAGGGAACAAGUACGUAAGUAUAGAGCCCACUGUUGGCCUAUAAAUAAUCUGCUUGAUAGAAACGUAGGGUAUUCCAUCAGCCAAAGGGGCACGAAAAGUUAUCUCAGAUUCGGAUUGCUGACAAAAAGUACCUGAGACAGGAGUGGCUCCAUCCUGGGCUUAGGAAGUUUUUCCACAAUUUGAAUCACCUUGGGAUCUUGUUAAAAUGAAGAUUGAGCUUCUGUAGGUGUUGAUAGGUAUUGAGAUUCUGCAUUUCUUUUAAGUGAUGCUGAUGGUCUUGAACUGUAGACCACACUUAAUGGGCACCUUUUGCACGCAAAUGUCCAGAGACAACACUUGAUGACUUUAUAGACCACUUGAAACCAGUUCUCUUCCAGGUGCUACUGAUUUUUAUUGAUAAGACAUAAUGUGGUACAACAAAGAAAAAUACGUCAUAGCGAGGGAGGUUUCAGAAAUGAGUAAAUAGGGUGCAAACCUGACCUUUCUGAGGAAAUAAAUCUUGGGGAGGAAACCACAUGAAAGAAGCAAGUGAUAUUUUGAAUCAGUAUUGAAACAUGAAUGCAGAUGGAGCUUGUGGCCUGGAGUUGAGAGUGGAUAAAAACAGCAUUUUGUAUUCUGGGGAUGUGAAUUACCUUCUAGGCCAGCCACUUCAGUGUUGUCCUGAAGUUCUAGUUAACAUGGCUUACUGAAAGGGAAGUGUAGCAUGUGUAAGCAUUUCAAGGCAACAAAUUGUGAGAGUUGCAAAGUAUUUUCAAAUAUUUGUGCUACUCAGCGAGUUUAUUAUUUGAUGUACCCAUCCCAAGUUGACAUGCUGGGGGGAGAGGGAGUAGAGUUUUUUCCCAGAGGUAAGUUUCCUAAAGAUGUAAAAAAAAAAAAAGGAUUUACCUUUGGGAAUGUGAGGCCUAAUUGUAAAUAGACUCUUGCCACAUUCCCAUCAGCAGUGCUGGAUUAGUUAAGAGCUUUACUUGUGGGUGCCAAAACACAUUUUUCAAAAAUGGCUGAAACUAUACAAUCAGCAACUUGGACAGAAAAUGACACAGAGAUCAGGGUCCCAUUUUUCUUUGUCCUUGUGCCCUCUGCUCAACUAAAUAACUUCUCCUGCCUAAGGAAGUGUUGAUUGUAUCCUUUACAUGUUUACAGAUAGUUCCCACCCUUGCAUUUGGCACUCUAAACAUAUUUUGCUUCUUUCCUCCUGCAUUCCUUUUUUUUUCUUUUUCAUUUUUCAUCAGAGAUCAAUACUUCCAGUUUCUACGAUUCUUUUUCUUUUUAGAAGUUAGAGAAGCUUCUUCUCAGGAAAACGAAAUACAAGAAACUUUUAAUAACGUUUGAAUGAAAUCUGGAACUGUCUAAAAAUAAGUCUUUGUACAGUGAUUUCAACUUGGCUGACUGCAAUACUAGUGUCUACUGAGGGUUGGUACUUUUAGAACUGAAUAUAAACUCAACUCCCCAAAGACAUCUGAGAAAGGUCUCAAACCAAGUGCUGCUUUAAAAUAUAGAUCACAUCUCUGUGUAGUUGUAUUCCUGUACCCUUUAGAAACAUUUCCUUUAGGAGUAGACAUCAGUGAAUACAAGCAAAUAGAAUAACACAGAAGCUAAAAUAUUCUUCUGACACCUAGGGCAGACACAUGUCAUUGAAAAAAAAAUCACAAUAAAGAAAACACUUGUCUAAAAAAUAUACUGUUACCCGAUUCUCUACCUUUCAGAAAGGUAAGAGUACCCAUUGCUGCAAAUCAAUGAAGCUCGCUUCAUUAUUUCAUAGGACAGUGGUGUUUCUCAAAGUGUGGUCCACUAACGUGGGAUAAUUGUUAAAAAAUGCAGAUCGCUGGGCCUAACCUCAGAUCUUCUGAAUGAGAAUCAUUCAAUUUGGCAUUUUCAGUGAACAUCGCUAGUUGAAUAUUGUGCACCUGAAGUUUGAAAACUCCUGGAAAACUAGGUUGAAGGGGAAAGUCUGCUGAAAGCUUCCCUUGGGGUUAGUAAGGAAGUUCUUUGAAGAGGGGUAGGUAAAAAUGAGUUGGCAGUGUCAUCUGUCUUUCCUUCUCACCCUCAAUUCCCAGAAACUUUUCUCAUACUCCGGUAUCCCGUGCAGUUUUGCUUGUAAAUUUAUCAAUUAGGUAAGAAAGUGGGAGUUUUCACUGUGGCUCAGUGAGUUAUGAACCCGACUAGUAUCCAUGAAGUUGCAGGUUCAAUCCCUGGCCUCGCUUAGUGAGUUAGGAAUCUGGCCUUGCGGUGAGCUGUGGUGAAGGUUGCGGAUGUGGCUCGGAUCCUGCUUUGCUGUGAUGUAGGCCGGUGGCUUCAUCUCUGAUUCUACCCCUAGCCUUGGAACUUCCAUGUGCUUCAGGUGCAGCCCUAAAAAGCAAAGUAAAAUAAAAUAAAAGCCCUGAAACUUUUCAUACUUUAGUUACAUAUUGACUUAGCGCUCAUAAAUAUCCCAAGGAUCUUAACAUUUUUUCAGUAUUUUUAAGUCCAUAAAGAGUAGAAAAAAGAGUGAACAAACUUUAUUUU
rnacentral:lncRNA from 1 species